rnacentral:tRNA from 1 species
GCCUGGGUAGCUCACUUGGUAGAGCAUGUGACUCUUGAUCUCAGGUUUGUGAGUUCAAGCCCCCUGUUGGGCA